rnacentral:tRNA from 1 species
GCCUGGGUGGCUCAGUUGGUUGAGCGUCUGACUUCAGCUCAGGUCAUGAUCUCAUGGUCUGUGAGUUCGAGCCCCAUGUCGGGUU